rnacentral:rRNA from 1 species
UACGUAGGGCGCAAGCGUUGUCCGGAAUUAUUGGGCGUAAAGAGCUCGUAGGCGGUCUGUCACGUCCGCUGUGAAAAGCUAGGGCUUAACCCUGGCCUUGCAGUGGAUACGGGCAGACUAGAGGUAGGUAGGGGAGAAUGGAAUUCCCGGUGUAGCGGUGAAAUGCGCAGAUAUCGGGAGGAACACCAGUGGCGAAGGCGGUUCUCUGGGCCGUACCUGACGCUGAGGAGCGAAAGCGUGGGGAGCGAACAGG